AUUGAACGCUGGCGGCAUGCUUUACACAUGCAAGUCGAACGGUAACAGGCCGCAAGGUGCUGACGAGUGGCGAACGGGUGAGUAAUGCAUCGGAACGUGCCCAGUCGUGGAGGAUAACUACUCGAAAGAGUAGCUAAUACCGCAUACGAUCUAUGGAUGAAAGCGGGGGACCGUAAGGCCUCGCGCGAUUGGAGCGGCCGAUGUCAGAUUAGGUAGUUGGUGGGGUAAAGGCUCACCAAGCCAACGAUCUGUAGCUGGUCUGAGAGGACGACCAGCCACACUGGGAUUGAGACACGGCCCAGACUCCUACGGGAGGCAGCAGUGGGGAAUUUUGGACAAUGGGCGCAAGCCUGAUCCAGCAAUGCCGCGUGCAGGAAGAAGGCCUUCGGGUUGUAAACUGCUUUUGUACGGAACGAAACGGCUCUGGUUAAUACCCGGGGCUAAUGACGGUACCGGAAGAAUAAGCACCGGCUAACUACGUG
rnacentral:rRNA from 1 species